rnacentral:rRNA from 1 species
UCAAUUAUUUAUAGCCUCUGGCUAUAGGAAAUUGUUAGUGGCAGACGGGUGAGUAAUGCGUAGGAAUCUACCUAGUAGUACGGAAUAGCCAUUAGAAAUGGUGGGUAAUACUGUAUAAUCCCCGAGGGGGAAAGAUUUAUCGCUAUUAGAUGAGCCUACGUUAGAUUAGCUAGUUGGUGAGGUAAUGGCUUACCAAGGCUAUGAUCUAUAGCUGGUCUGAGAGGACGAUCAGCCACACUGGAACUGAGAUACGGUCCAGACUCCUACGGGAGGCAGCAGUGGGGAAUAUUGGACAAUGGGCGAAAGCCUGAUCCAGCUAUGCCGCGUGAGUGAAGAAGGCCUUCGGGUUGUAAAACU